UGAUUUGUUUCCAGUACCUCCUCCAAUGAGAUCCAUACAUUUGCAGAUUGCCUCAGUAAAGAGUAAGGGAAAGUUAAAAGGGGAAUAUCCACUCUCUCCACCCACUCACUUUUCCUACAGUUAUAACCAGGGACACUGCAUUAUAUGGAUUUAUUGGACAGAAGAACCUCCAGAGGCUGUGAGCUUACAGAUACACUCACUGGCAAAAUGCUUCUGUUGUUUCUGUGUCUGGUUUUGGGAACUCCACAAGGACAAGGGGUUAAUGUAACGUGUGACAAUGCAUCGCUUUCAAAAGACCAGCAUCUGACACUGUGCUGUACACUGGAUUACACUGCCAUACAAACUCUCAACCAUGGGACAAAUGACACAACAUGUGUUACUGAGUGGUAUGUAUGGAAGUGUUCAGAUAUUGUAAAACGGAGUUGUACUGAAGACUGUCACAUGGAAGAAACGGAAGCACCGUCACGAAAAUGCUAUUAUACGAAAGGAAUUGUUACAAAAGCUGAUGAGGGUAAAUACACUUUUUCCAUUGGCACAAACUGUGGGACUGGUUCAGGGACAACAAGCUUUUUCAAUGUUCCAGUUACUGUGAAAAGUGUUGACAACGGGAGAGACCAACAAGAUGGGAGAGACCAACAAGCUCCUGUAUGGUUAGCCCUGGUUGUUAUCAUCAGCGUCAUCGCUGUUCUGGGCGUUCUAUUGUUUCUCAAAACUUCUCGUUCUGGCAGAGGAUUGAUGGAACGACUCAAGAGUUCUAUGACCCAGAGCAACAACAAUACUAAUGAGAGCCCUGAAGGUUCAAGAGAGGCACUUAACAUGGUGUCUGCAUAACAUUCAGCGUGAGCCAGUUGGCUUGUUGGUUCUUUCGAAAUGAACUCAACYUUGACCUCUGCUAUGUUGCUGUAUGUCAGACGCAUUCUAUACCAAUAAGACCRGUGUGGCUCAGUUGGUAGAGCAUGGCGCUUGCAACGCCAGGGUUGUGGGUUCAUUCCCCACGGGGGGACCAGG